AUUGAACGCUGGCGGCGUGCCUAACACAUGCAAGUCGAGCGGUAACAGGUGUAGCAAUACACGCUGACGAGCGGCGGACGGGUGAGUAACGCUUGGGAAUCUGCCUGUUAGUGGGGGACAACCCGGGGAAACGUCGGGCUAAUACCGCAUACGCACUACGGUGGAAAGCCGGGGACCGCAAGCCUGGCGCUAACAGAUGAGCCCAAGUCGGAUUAGCUAGUUGGUAGGGUAACGGCCUACCAAGGCGACGAUCCGUAACUGGUCUGAGAGGACGACCAGUCACACCGGAACUGAGACACGGUCCGGACUCCUACGGGAGGCAGCAGUGGGGAAUAUUGGACAAUGGGCGAAAGCCUGAUCCAGCGACGCCGCGUGGGUGAAGAAGGCCUGCGGGUUGUAAACCUCUUUUCUCAGGGAAGAUACAAGACGGUACCUGAGGAAUAAAGCCACGGCUAACUACGUGCCAGC
rnacentral:rRNA from 1 species